UAUUUUCGCUUCAUAACUACCGCCCCUGGACCCGGUUGCAUUGCUCGGGCGUAGCUAGUCCCCUGCUAGUCCCGACUAAACCCCCUUAUACCCGACUAGCUAGUCUCCUCACUUACGCCGGUUGCACUGCUCUGGACUAGCCUCGCGACUAGCCACGUCCGAACUAGUAACUACGGACUAAGGGUUUUACAAAAACCUUCACGGGUUUCCACCGCGAAACGAAAUUUUCACGCGGGAGAUCACUCUAAUCUCGAAAAUGUCAGAUGCAAAAGUGAAAGACAAAUUGAAAAAUAAAACGUCUAUGGAUUAAUAGUGACAGUCGCUGCAAAUCAGACGUUGCUCUUGUCAAAAUUUCGAACGGACUGCAACUAAAAGAAGCAGCGGAAAGAUGUGGCGAGGACGGUAUGUGCCCAGUCGUCGGCAGAACGAUCAAUGCAUGAGGCAAUGAAGAAAUGCUCCGCGAGUGAUAAACAAUGUCCACAAUUCAACAGCAAGCGAGGAAUGUAAUGUUACUGCUCUCUCCCCCUAUUGAAAUGAGCUCAGGACUAUUCAAUGACAGUUCAAGUGCUCCCUCUCUACUUUAUUCAGGUGAUAAUGAAAAUUGUUCAGUUGAAAAGGUGAAUCCAGGUACAAACAUAAUUGUAGUUCAUGUAAUCUGUUUUUUGCAUAUUGUGUAUUAUAAAUGAAAUAUUUUUCAGUAUGCAAUCGUGUAAUUGCCAUCUCAGACAUGUCCCACAGUUUGUUGGGAUGUCGCCAGUUUCAGUAACCAUAUGCUUUUAUAUGAAUGAAUUGUUAGUCCAUUGCCCAACCCCUUUAACCUAGAGGACCAGUGAACCACUUUUGAUCUCUCCAAAAUGGGUGACCAUGCCAGGAGCUAGUGCUCCUGUCGGCAUAUUUCUGGGGGUCAUUGAGACAAGCAUACCACUUGACCAUGGCAAAGGGGUGGUCCAACAGAGGGAAAAAAAACAUGUGCACACUAAAAUCUGUAAUAUACACCUGUAAACGCUAAGAACUACAGUAUUUACAUGUAGGCUCGAAAACCUACAAUGUGUGCAUACUGAGCCACACAGAUAUUUAAAACUAAGACAAAACUAUUUUCAUUGAAAAAAGCUCUUUUACUGAAAAAAAAAAAAAAUAUAAAAAGAGAAAAUUGCUUGAAUUAUCUGGCUUCAUACAAAUUUAAACC